GUCCAACCCUUGGGGCCCUCAUAAUGGCCCUCGGCUCGAAUAGAAAUCCUAGGCGCCGUGGCGGUCUCUUUCCCUCGCUCCAUCUCGGCUUCUCGCCCUUCCCCGCAAGGUUUACGUUGUGGGCCUGAUCAAAAUGUUUACUGCACGGAAGAAAAUUCAGAAGGACAAGGGCCUUGAGCCAUCAGAGUUUGAGGAGAGUGUUGCUCAGGCAUUAUGUUAUUUGGAGAACAGUAACCAGGAGUUGAAGAGUGACCUGAAAGACCUUUACAUCAAUUCGGCAGUUCAAAUGGAUGUAGCUGGCAACCGGAAAGCUGUUGUUAUACAUAUACCCUACAGACUUCGGAAAGCCUAUAGGAAGAUUCAUGUGAGGCUUGUAAGAGAGUUGGAGAAGAAGUUCAGUGGCAAAGAUGUGAUUCUUAUUGCAACACGAAGGAUAUUGAGGCCACCCAAGCAAGGUUCAGCUGUUGUGCGCCCUCGCAGCCGCACCCUCACUGCUGUUCAUGAUGCCACCUUGGAAGAUGUUGUGUACCCAGCAGAAAUUGUUGGGAGGCGUGUAAGAUAUCAUUUGGAUGGAUCCAAGAUCAUCAAGAUUUUUCUGGACCCAAAGGAACGCAACAACACCGAAUAUAAGCUGGAAACAUUCACUGGAGUCUACCGCAAGCUUUGUGGGAAAGAUGUGGUGUUCGAAUAUCCAGCGACCGAGAGUGCAUGAAGGAAGCUUCCCAUCUCACAGCAUUUUACCGAGACUCGUUUUCAUUCCUUGGUCGCCAUCCUAGCUAAAAGGCAUAAAGGACGUGAAAAUCAAGUCAUUUUGAAGGCCUGCAAAUUUGUAAACGGAUUGGUUUGCUUAUAUGAACACUUGGGAGGCCUCGAAGAAGUUCAAUAAUUCAGCACAUUGCAGAAUAUCUGAGACUGCAUCCAUUAAAUAACCGUCCAAGAGUCUUCUUCAAGCUAGAUUUUUGUAAAUUUUAGUUGUUGAGUAAGCACUAAUAUUCCUUCCUAGGUUGCUCGAACUUCUGCUUGGGAUACAGAAUUUGACGAGAAUUUCCCAGUACUAGCAUAAAUAACAGAGCCAGUGAAGUCCCUAACAAAUGUAACCUGCCCUGCAUUACCUUCCCUCAAUGAUGAUCGGGGCUUGUUUUUUUUUUUUUUUUUUGGAAUUGCCUAUCAUUUCGUGCCAUCCAUA